ACCAGGCCACCACUGGCAGCUGUCUGUCACAUCAUGGCCACACCUGAAGGACAGAGCACAGGAGACAGGGGAGAAAGGACUGAUGGUUCUUUGCAGCUACAGAGAACAGCAGCACAGGUUGGUAAACCACAUUAAAACCUCAUCUCUUUAGAGACUUUUGUUUGCAAGAAGAAAGGUGUUGCUAUAAAUGGUUAAACAUUUAUCUUCGAGAUAGAGCCAGGCCUCAAAACGAUGUCAGUAAUGUCAUAAAAACAAGAAUUAUGAGUCUUUUUAUAACCAUUAUAUCCAUUAAUAAGAAUUAUGUGGAGUGGUUCCUUUGGCAAUAACAGUCUUUAGGGUCCAUCUUUUAAACAAGCAGUUGUAUGUUUUAGAUGGAAAUGUAAUGACACUGGACUGCUCAUACAAAGUCCAAGGCUAUGUCUGUGUGUCCGUUUGUCCAUCCGUCUGAAACACAGUAUCAGAGACUAUUUGACAGAUAACUGUGACCAUCAGGCUGACAUCUGUGGUUUUGAGUGAAAAGCAAUGUUAAAUAGACAGGCAUAAAAUUAAUGCAGACAUCCAUGACUUCCUCAUGGUGUAACUGUUGUGAUCACUGACUUUAAUACUUUGGUUUAGAAACAACUACAAAACCAAUGACAUAUCCACCAACCAUUAGAAAAUCCCUCAGUAGAGUGCAUACCUCCACCAAGGCCCAACAGUCCCCUAGAAAAAUGGUCCUUAAAUAAGCCUAAUUAUUUACAUCAAGAUCCAUGAAUUAUAUCCUGAGAAAUCUGUCAAAGUAUAAAUAAAACCUCCUGUCUCACAAUGUUAGUGAAAGUGAAAAAGGAUUGUUGGAUCCGCCCCCGGAUCCAGACCAAAAUGUGAUGGGUUCUUUCCUGACCCAAACCACAUCCUGUUUUUUGUACAUUUUGCCAACAAACAAAAAUACAAACCAGCCCACAAUUGUGCAUGGCUGAAAACACAACCUUCUCUGCAGCUGUAGAGGCAUGUCUAACUCCAGGCCUUAAAGCAACCUCACCACUGAUACGUUGUUAUACUGGAGACACAAAGGGGGACGUUUCCUGAGGUGUCAGUGUCCCCUCUCUUCAAGGUGUAGUCACUGCUCGAACAUGCUGCUGUGGAGUAACGACACAUCUGGAGAGUCAGUGACGCACCGGUAACACAGCAGGGGGUUUUGUGCACAUGGUCCCAGAGGUCAGGAGUAUGAAUUAAUGUGAAGACCCCACCACAGUAGAAAAUGCUGGACAAGAGCCUUGUUUAGAAAAAGGUCUGUAAUAAUAUAGCGCUCCUCCAGUCCUAAUGACCACAUAAAACGUUCAUACUCACAUUAACAGUGAAUGUAUGUGCAUUUUAUCCAUCAUCCAUCAGACACACACAUAGACACUGUCUGUACAGCUGUCAGGGGCAAUUUGGGGUUCAGUAUCUUGCCCAAGUAGACUUCAGAAUUUAGACUGGAUUGACCAACCUUCUGGUUAGUGGAUGACCCUCUCAGCCACAGCCACUCUGGUGUAAAGUUAAGAGUAGGUUUUUAUUCAAAUAAGUUUUAGGAAAUCAAACCUUCUGUGCAAACAUCCCAAACGGUCCUAAAGUACAGUGGUGGGUGUUACUGUUAUUGAGACUUCUGUAAGAACACCUGUAUCAUAAUCUGGAACCAAAUAAAGUCAAAUAUAAUGCGUACUCACCCCCUUCAAUGUGCUGUUUUAUAAACUGGGGUUUUGAACUGUAAUAAGAUCAAGUCAAGCACUGGUUUCAUUGAUAUAACACUAAUGCUGCUGAAUCUGCACAUCUGCCACUAAGGAUUCUGUAUGUGUGAGGUCAAGGGUCUUAGGGUCUCUCCGGAAAUUAAGACAAAAUAUCCCAAAUACAAACGCUGCCAUAUUAUGCAUUUGGAGCCAGAGUCUGCACAGCAGCGAUUGAAGAAUGAUCAAUGGUAACCAUGAUACACUCGGAUGUGUUCAACCAAUCGUGAGACAGUCUCAGCUGUCAAUCACGACAUUCCACUUCAUUUUAUAGCAUCAAAUAACAAUGAUCUCACUUAAAUUAACACUUGAAUAAACAUCAUUGUGAAAACAAAUAUGAAUCAUCUUUAAGAAAAAAAAUU